rnacentral:tmRNA from 1 species
GGGGGCGUCUGGUCUCGACGGGGCAGUUGGGCUUCGGGAUAGCGAGCCGAAGGCGUGAGCGUCACAGCGCAAGGCAACACAAAUGCCAACGAUCGACCACAGCUCGCCCUCGCUGCGUAAGUAGCGACGGGAUGAGUUCCCGGGACUUAGAUCCCGGGCGUCGCCCCCGGCGGUGCCGGCCCGUCGGGGUAAGCGGCGUCACAACAGCCGGCUAGCCGGUCCGCGGUGGCGGCGGCCGCGGACCGGGACACGAAGCGCCGCUGGCCGGGUGGGAUCCCGUCGGGAGGAGCCCAGCGGCGAGACCAAAAUCCCGAAUACGCUCGUAGAGGUCCCGGGGGACUCUGCUUCGGACGCGGGUUCAACUCCCGCCGCCUCCACCA